CGGUUACGUCACAGCGCCGCGACUAGGCCUGUCGCAAUUCGAAGACUCCUUCAAAUGUGGUCGACGAAUGCGGCCUUCUUUUCGCCUGAAUGAAGGAUGGGUCCGGUGUAUCCUUCAACAGGUAGCAUUUCCCAAGAUGCCUUGCGGGCCGGCCGGCAGAAAAACUUAAAAACAAUGGCGGACAGUGAAGCGGGAGCUGUCGGAGAGGAUUGCGCAUAUAAAUGAACAAAAGAGAAAACCAGGGAAUUUAUUAAGCUUAGGGCGGAGAUGGACCACAUGAUCACCGGAGCAAAGUAUUCGGUGGCUGUGGCAUGGAGACUAUUCUGGAGAAAAUGGGCAUCCAGGAGAAGGUGACAGCGAUGACCAGCUUCUGGAGCUGCUGAUCUGGGAGGACAUGAGGCUGCAGAGGGAGGCAGAGGGCACAGGAGAGAAGGGAGAACUUUGACAGGCUUUUUACUUUGCUAGAAAAAAAUGGUUAAUAAAGAUUAAACAUGUACAUAUAAAAGAAAUAUCUAAAUAAAAUCAGUUCUGCAUUAAACUCUUGAAUUUUAUUUUGGUUUACAAAUGAGAAUUGUUUACUAGAGGGUAUCCCGCUGGGUCUUAAAGUCUAGGUGAUAAAUGGGUUUUGGUCAAAUUAAGACCCUUAGAAAGUAUUAAAAACUAUUAUCACAUCUUUGCUCAGGCUCAGCUAGUCGAAAGUAUUUUCUCUGAAUUAGCUCUCCAACAGUCAAGGAAAUGAUUAAAAAGCUAAAUAAAACUUCGAGCUCCAUCGUUUAAAGUUCCUUCUCCCUUCUGCUCAGCGGUUCCACGGUUGCUAGGCGACGGAACGUUCGCCGAGGGAGAGGCGGGGAAUUCAUGAAGGCUAGGCCUGUCCAAAUUCACAGCCGUUAACAUCCGGUCUACCCGGCCGACGGAGGACCCAGCCCACGUCGGCCGAGUAG